rnacentral:rRNA from 1 species
UACGUAGGGGGCUAGCGUUGUCCGGAAUCAUUGGGCGUAAAGGGUGCGUAGGCGGCGCGGUAAGUCGGGUGUGAAAUCUCGGAGCUUAACUCCGAAACUGCAUUCGAUACUGCCGUGCUUGAGGACUGGAGAGGAGACUGGAAUUUACGGUGUAGCGGUGAAAUGCGUAGAUAUCGUAAGGAAGACCAGUGGCGAAGGCGGGUCUCUGGACAGUUCCUGACGCUGAGGCACGAAGGUCAGGGGAGCAAACAGG